CAAUUUCAUUUUUUAACUAAAAUAGUAUUUCUCUAUAUUUUCUCUUUCUAAAAUAUUAUAAAAUCAUACAGAGGAAUAAAGCUUAGCACUAUAAUAGUUUAUUUUAUUUAUUUAUCAAAAGUAUUUCAAUAUUUAGAUUACUUAUAUUUCAACUGGAGCUUUAAAGUCUGGUGGUAAAUGGUUCACGACUGUGAGUUCCGCCACGUGGAAACGAAUCUCAGCCACUGAAAUAUUCACAUGUGGUUUUGUAGCUCUCUGGGACUGAAGACCAUUCUAGUGCAACCCAUGUCCCUCGUGUAACUCUGGUCACCGUGUGGUCCGUAGUUGUCUCGGUCUCUAGUCUAGACUCACCUCGGGUGAGGGCCAGGACACCUGAUAUUAUUCACAGCGUCCCAAAUAAACAUGCCAAAUUAUAAUUUAGAACUGCGGUAUGAACCAAUUAUUUUGUGAACUAAUAAUUAGGCCAUCUAUCCAUCUAUACAUAUAAAGUUUGAUCCUGAAAAAUUCACCACUUUCUUCUCUAUAUCAUUUCUUGAAAGAACUUCUCCAUAUCAUUUUAAGGAUUUCUACAUGUCUUUUCUGAUCGUGGGCGAUUGAAGAUUACGAAAAGUUCUAGGCUUUCAUGCACCUUAUAAGAAACGCAUUGACAUCUGCUUGAAUAUGAAACUAAUGUUGCUACUGAGCUGCUUGAAAAUAAUCUAGUGGCUAUUUACCGGAGAUUCCAUUCCCACUCGAAAAUCUGUUUUCGAUCUGAUCAAAGGAUAUCUCGGGAAUCUGAUUCCAAUACGUGGCUGAGAUUAUCAUUACUGGAGUUUAUGACAGUACCAGACCACCAAGGUGAAUCUACCAGCACCACCGUUAAAAUCCGACCCCCAUCGCCGCCGGAGAAUCCAAAUGCCAUUUCUAUUCUCUUUCAAAAGCGCAGGAAGAAAAAGAGAGAUUAGUACUUUGAAUGAAUGGCUUUACAACCGUCCGAUCAGAUAACUAUAUUACAUUUUUACCCUUUAAGAAACAAAUCCCACGAUGUUGAAACUCUUAGUCAGACUUGUAUCUGUAUUGUUUCGACGGCAGAUGUUUUUUUCUUUGAACAACCGGCAAAUGUUUUUUUACUCUCUUUCCAUUGUUUACUUAAUGCUUGCUCAAUGCUUUGACAUGUCAUUUACGAAACACGACUUACCUGUCAUUAAGACACGUGUCUUUUGAUCGUGGUUCUGUGUCGUUGGAUUUGUGACCAGUGUCUCUCUUUUUUUGGCUAUAAACUCUUUUUGUUAAGUUGAGUUUAGUUUCAAUCCAAAUUUUUUGAAUACUUUGGGUUUGGGUUUCAAACUUUCAAUUCAAAGUAGCACCAGAUUCUCACAUGCAAGUGCGAUGUUUCCGCUCUUACCCUUGUUUUACAUCUUCCAAUUAAAAAAAUGCAAACCAAUUACAUUUACAUAAAAGUCUCCUUAAUGAUUUUUGGUAUGGACAACUAAAACAAAAAAGAUAUACAAUUAGUUUAUAUUACUUUCAAUUUCAAAUGAGAAUACAUAAAAUAUUUUUAAAUAUUUUUAAAAAUCUAAACAUAUUUUAAAUUGUUUAACUUUUUGCUACUAACCAAGUAAAACAAUCACUCACAUUUAUAGAUACUUGAAUUUACGUGUGGUGUUGAGACCAAUACCGGUCCCGAGGGAAAGCAUUAGAAGCUCAGGCUUCCGGCCUUGUUAAGUUAAGUAUUUAACAUGCCAUUGAUUCCCAAAAGUUUCAAGUAGUUUUUUCUGUGAUAACCAGGUUAGGUGUUUGAUUCCUCCACCGGUACUGGUUGAGACCAUAAGUUCGAAACAAAAUUUAAGAUAUAAGAACUUAUAUCAUACGUAUAACAAGGUCAAAAUUUUACUGUUAACAAAUAUUUCCUUGUUACACAAAAAAUGUCACUUUACAAUUCCAAUGCAAAUUAUACUUAAUAUCAGUUAAAAGUUAAUUGCAAACUACAUUGGUUUUAUAAAUAAUUAUAUUUACCUCAAAUACUAUUAGUCAGAAAGAUGUAAUUAAUAACAACUUACAUAUACUUCCGUUACUUUCUUAGCUAAAGUGUCAAAGUGACGGAUGCAGUAAGAAAUACUCCGCGUGAAGUACAGACAGAUCACUAGCUUAAAGGAUUUUGCAGACUCUUCAAGGAUUUCCUGCUUACGAAUGGCUGCUGACGAUUCCAACCCUUGCAGCAUAUAUGAUAAUUUCUCGAGAACCUUAUUGAUCGAUGCAAGCAUUACUUUAUGUUUUUUUUUUAACAUAGCAUUACUUUACGUUAGGAACAUAUUUUCUAGAAGAACAGGUACACACGAUGUUGAUUUUGCUACUGUUGUUAUUCCAACUAGGGCCGGCGUCCGCGCUGCGCGCGGAUUACAUGUUUAAUAAAAAUCAGGGGAGAAGUUCGAAACGGUGAUCAUUUUUUUUUAAAAAACAACUGUAAGUAUGAAUAAUAAAUAGUUUUGAGGAAUUCGAUAUUUGAAUGAGAAAAUAAUCUUUGUGUGUGACAAUUUAAUUGAUGUAGGAAGUGGUAACGUAAAUGUUUUAAAAGUUGACUGGUGGUGUUUGCUAUGAGGCUUAGGAUAGCAGUUUAUUCCUCUUUUGGAAGCGUUGAAUGAUAUCAAUUUCGUUGUUAAAGUAGAAGCGCGUUCCAGGUGUUGCUGUGAGUGAUAGUUUUUCUGAAAAAGGCAAAUAUUUGUUAGCAUUUAGUUUUUUGUAAAGUUUAUGUUUAGUUUAUUACCUUCAUGUAUCCGUGGAAUGAUACUUGUGAUGAUUACGACUUGUUUUUUCCUUGUUGA